GUGCUCACUUCGGCAGUACAUACUAAAAUUGGACCGUUACAGAGGAUGCCCAAGGAUGACACACAAAUUCGUGAAGUGUUACAUUUUUUU
ensembl:snRNA U6 U6 spliceosomal RNA